GACAGAGGGUGCAAGCGUUGUUCGGAAUCAUUGGGCGUAAAGGGCGCGUAGGCGGUUUUGUAAGUCGAAUGUGAAAGCCCAGGGCUCAACCUUGGAAGUGCAUCCGAUACUGCAAAACUAGAAUCUCGGAGAGGGUGGUGGAAUUCCCAGUGUAGAGGUGAAAUUCGUAGAUAUUGGGAGGAACACCGGUGGCGAAGGCGACCGCCUGGACGAAGAUUGACGCUGAGGCGCGAGAGCGUGGGGAGCAAACAGG
rnacentral:rRNA from 1 species